rnacentral:rRNA from 1 species
UACGUAGGGCGCAAGCGUUGUCCGGAAUUAUUGGGCGUAAAGAGCUCGUAGGUGGCUUGUCGCGUCUGCCGUGAAAGCCCAUGGCUUAACUGUGGGUCUGCGGUGGAUACGGGCAGGCUGGAGGCUGGUAGGGGCAAGCGGAAUUCCUGGUGUAGCGGUGAAAUGCGCAGAUAUCAGGAGGAACACCGGUGGCGAAGGCGGCUUGCUGGGCCAGUUCUGACGCUGAGGAGCGAAAGCGUGGGGAGCGAACAGU